AAUUAAAGAGAAGUUGUAUAACAAGUUGGUAGAGGCUGGAUUUUUGCCGGAUGAAUCUGUGGAAGGGUUACCACGGAAGAGUGUUGAAACUGAGGUCUAGACCUCCAUCUCCUCGUUCGCCAGUGAAUGUGUCAGUUUCAGCUGUAUCGGAGCAAAGUCCACCACACGCUACUUCUUCGUCUGUUGAUGGAGCGUGGAGAGACCGGACAGGUCCCAUAGUGCUAGAUUUUCAGCACCCACACCCCACA